UUAAGAGUUUGAUCCUGGCUCAGGAUGAACGCUGGCGGUGUGGAUAAGGCAUGCAAGUCGAGCGAUUAUAUUUAUAUAAUAGCGGCAGACGGGUUAGUAACACGUAGGUAGCUACCUCUCACUCAGGAAUAAGCCACUGAAAAGUGGUCUAAUGCCCGAUAGUCCCGCAAGGGUAAAGAUUUAUCGGUGAGAGAGGCGCCUGCGGCCUAUCAGCUAGUAGGUAGGGUAAUGGCCUACCUAGGCUAUGACGGGUAGGGGGUGUGAGAGCAUGAUCCCCAACAAGGGCACUGAGAUACUGGCCCUACUCCUACGGGAGGCUGCAGUCGAGAAUCUUCCGCAAUGCACGAAAGUGUGACGGAGCGACACCGCGUGUAGGAUGAAGGCCUUCGGGUUGUAAACUACUUUUAUAGGGGAAGAACUUUUUUGUGACGGUACCUUAUGAAUAAGGGGCUGCUAAUCACGUGCCAGCAGCAGCGGUAAUACGUGAGCCCCAAGCGUUAUCCGGAAUUAUUGGGCGUAAAGCGUUCGUAGGCUGUUUUGUUAGUCUUGUGUUAAAUAUCUGGGCUCAACCCAGUUGUUGCGCAGGAAACGGCAAGACUAGAAGGUGUGAGAGGUCUGUGGAACUCAUGGUGUAGGGGUGAAAUCCGUUGAUAUCAUGGGGAACACCAAAGGCGAAGGCAGCAGACUGGCACAACCUUGACGCUGAGGAACGAAAGCUAGGGUAGCGAACGGGAUUAGAUACCCCGGUAGUCCUAGCCGUAAACUUUGGAUACUAGCUGUUUGAAGUGUCGACCCUUCAAGUGGCGAAGCUAACGCGUUAAGUAUCCCGCCUGGGAAGUACGAUCGCAAGAUUAAAACUCAAAGGAAUAGACGGGGUUUCGCACAAGCGGUGGAGCAUGCGGUUUAAUUCGAUGGCAAACGGAGAACCUUACCAGGGCUUGAAAUCCAGACGAAAACUCUCUGAAAGGAGAGUCCUCUUCGGACGGCUGGACAGGUGUUGCAUGGCUGUCGUCAGUUUGUGCUGUGAGGCGCUCUCUUAAUUGAGGUAACAAACGCAACCCUCAUCGUGUGUUAUACGUGUCACACGAGACUGCCGCGCACAACGCGGAGGAAGGCGAGGAUGACGCCAAGUCAGCAUGGCCCUUUGACGCCCUGGGCUACACGCAUGCUACAAUGGCCGGUACAAUGAGUUGCCAAGCGGUAACGUGGAGCUAAUCUCAUCAAAACCGGUCUCAGUUCGGAUUGAGGUCUGCAAUUCGACCUCAUGAAGUUGGAAUCGCUAGUAAUCGCAGGUCAGCUAUACUGCGGUGAAUACGUUCUCGAAACUUGUACUCACAAAUAAAAUGCGCCCGGCAGAUUAUUUUUCCCCGAUGUUCGUUAAUCGAAAUCGGGAUCCCGACUAAAACGUCGGGGCCAGAUGGUUAAAGUCCAUCUCUCUGCGACCGUCGCAGAGCAUAGCUGAAGGAUAAUCAAAUAUCGCGAGGUAUUUGGUAAAGGAUCUGGAAGCAAAAUACAGCCCAUUUUAUCCGCCUUAGGCGGAGAAACGCAUCGACCCACGAUUGGGUGGUGAGCGUGGGGAAGAAGCAAUUUAUGUUUCAAUGGGAUGUGUGGAAAGGUAAAAUAAUUGACCCGGGGAGAUCUUAUACUGUUAAGAAACAUGCGCAGUGUAAGAAGUCAGCUAAGUUAUAAUACUCUGAUGUUCAUCAGAGGAAGGACUUUUCCCAUAUCGUGUGAUGUGACAUGGGACUCGCUGUAUGCGGGAAAUCCGCACGUACAGUGGGAACGGUUAAUCUAGGUUUCAUAGAAACCAUUCGCCCGUCAAGUCAGAGAAGUCGGCAGCACCCGAAGCUCCUUGCUUUAGCAAGGAUCCAAGGUGAGGUCGGUGACUAGGAUUAAGUCGUAACAAGGCAGCCGUAGCGGAAGCUGUGGCUGGA
rnacentral:rRNA from 1 species